UGAAAGUUGUUCUGAGAUUUCUUACAUAAAAUGUAAGUUUUACACAAAUGAAUACACGAACGGAAGAAAGCAGAGAAGACAAAGAACGUAACAUUUAUUUCCUAUAUUUUAGGUUUUAUUUGUGACAGACCUCUGUUAGAAGACAAACAAAGAUUUCCAGAUUCGUCAUUCACUGCCUCAGCUUCUUCAAAAGGUCGCAGUCCCUCUGAUGCAAGAAUAUCUAGUGGCAGUUCUUGGUGUGUUCCUGUCUCGGAUGGCAAACAUUAUCUUCAGUUGGGCUUAGGAAGACUUUAUGUGAUAUAUAAUCUCGCAACAUUUGGUGACACUACUAGCCCAAAAUUGGUGACCACAUACAAUUUGAACUACACUGUUGAUGGGAUAAACUGGAAAUC
rnacentral:lncRNA from 1 species